rnacentral:rRNA from 1 species
UACGUAGGUGGCAAGCGUUGUCCGGAAUUAUUGGGCGUAAAGCGUGCGCAGGCGGUUGUGCAAGACCGAUGUGAAAUCCCCGGGCUUAACCUGGGAAUGGCAUUGGUGACUGCACGGCUAGAGUGUGUCAGAGGGGGGUAGAAUUCCACGUGUAGCAGUGAAAUGCGUAGAGAUGUGGAGGAAUACCGAUGGCGAAGGCAGCCCCCUGGGAUAACACUGACGCUCAUGCACGAAAGCGUGGGGAGCAAACAGG